rnacentral:misc_RNA from 1 species
UCAAAACAGCGGCCUUCGGGCCUCGCUGCACCCUUGUCUUUUGCGCACCGUAUUGUUUCCUCGGCGGGCUUGCCUGCCGGUCUGGACAUCAUAAAACCUUUUUGUAGUUGCAAUCAGCGUCAGAAAAACAAUAAUUAUUA